rnacentral:lncRNA from 1 species
CUCCCCGCUAGCUGAGGGUGGGUGUCAAAGCUCCUUUCUAUAAUCUGCACCUUUGCUAGGACUGCUGAAUAUGUCUCGAGCUCCAUUACCAGUAAGUGCUGUCUGAUCUCCGAGCGGAGACCCCACUGGAAUUUUCUGGCCUUUCGGCCCUCAUCCAUCAAUGUCUCUGGGGCAUAUCGGCCCAGCUCCAGGAACUUACGGGCAUACUCCGACACUGUCAUGUUUCCCUAGACCAAUUGAGCAAACUCCAUUUCCUUCAGGUGUUGGAUGUGUUUAGGGAGAUACUC